rnacentral:rRNA from 1 species
UGCGCAGGCGGCCAUGUGUGUCAGGUGUGAAAUACCCGGGGCUUAACCCCGGAACUGCGCCUGAAACUACAUGGCUAGAGUACUGGAGAGGGUAGUGGAAUUCACGGUGUAGCAGUGAAAUGCGUAGAUAUCGUGAGGAACACCAGAGGCGAAGGCGACUACCUGGACAGUUACUGACGCUCAGGCACGAAAGCGUGGGGAGUCAAAGGGAUUAGAUACCCCCUGUAGUCCCACGCCCUAAACGGUGCACACUAGGUCUUGGCGGAUUCGACCCCGCCAGGGCCCAAGCUAACGCGUUAAGUGUGCCGCCUGAGGACUACGGCCGCAAGGCUAAA